GGAGGGUGCAAGCGUUAUCCGGAUUCACUGGGUUUAAAGGGAGCGUAGGUGGGUUGGUAAGUCAGUGGUGAAAUCUCUGAGCUUAACUCGGAAACUGCCAUUGAUACUAUCAGUCUUGAAUACCGUGGAGGUCAGCGGAAUAUGUCAUGUAGCGGUGAAAUGCUUAGAUAUGACAUAGAACACCAAUUGCGAAGGCAGCUGGCUACACGAAUAUUGACACUCAGGCUCGAAAGCGUGGGGAUCAAACAGGAUUAGAUACCCUGGUAGUCCACGCCCUAAACUAUGGAUACUCGACAUACGCGAUACACUGUGUGUGUCUGAGCGAAAGCAUUAAGUAUCCCACCUGGGAAGUACGAUCGCAAGAUUGAA
rnacentral:rRNA from 1 species